UCCCAAUCGCAGUGAUCACCACCAUUAAAGCUAAUUCACAUUCUUUCUUGAGGUCCAAUCGUUCUUCUUCUCCACGCAAUCUUAUUUUUUACAAGAUUUGUUGUCAUCAUAUCCACACUUCUACUUUCCAUUCUUUCUCUGGUCAUCUUCUUCCUCUUUUAUUUUUCAAGCCAUCGUUUUCUUCCCCUUCUUUCACCACCCACCACCGAUACCACCAAUAUCCAAAUCUAUUGUCGUCAAAAAUAGAAUCAAAUUGCAUCAAAAAUAAUUUUGACGGAACUCCAUUUUUUCCGACGAAUCUAAAACUAUUUUCUUCGAAAUCGUUAACAAAUUUAAAUCCUAAAGAACUCACAACAUAGAAGAAAAAUAAGUAUCAACAAAUCUUAAUUAAU
rnacentral:lncRNA from 1 species